UUGUGUUGAAGAAACCUGACCCAAGUUGUUUUUUCACUAUGGUUGAUGUUGCAGACCCCUUCGCUGUCUGUUGUUGAAUGAUCAAGUAUCAGGGGCAUGCUUUAGUGUCCUGGUGCUGAGUUGGCAUCGCUCAAGAAAGUCUGAAGAAGCUGAGGCUGCCCAGGCUGCGCGAGACAGAGAGUAUGAGCUCAGGUUCGCUCGUUAGGCGAUGAUGAUGGGAGGAGGUACUACACCUGGGAACUAGUGGGGUGGAUGCUAGUGGGUGAGAUCCUUUUUUUGGCCAUGCUUUCUUGCAUCUAGGAACUCGUGGAUGGCUGGGAGACAUUUUGUGAUUUUCGUGCUUGCUCCAUUAUGAUAACUGUGGAGCUCUGCUAUGUGUUGUUACAUGUGGAGGUUUUUGGUUUAACCUGUGAACAAGUGGAGAUUAUGUGAACCUGUGAUAUAAAUUGUUCUCUU